rnacentral:lncRNA from 1 species
UAUUUACGUCAAUUUACCUUACGAGGUCUUUACGACGAUUCGGUCCUACGUGGAAUAAACGAGUGCCACCUUCGUCAUUUACUUUACGUGGCAUUUACGUCAAUUUACUUUACGAGGUCUUUACGACGAUUCUGUCCUACGUGGAAUAAACGAGGAUUACGUCGUACAUUCGACGUCAGAUUACGAGGAAUUAACGAGCAGUACGUUUAAAUCCCUAAAAUCCGAAACCCCAAACCCCAAAACCCCAUAUUCCUUAUCUUCUACUUCAUAUAUUCCAAACCCCAUCUUUAUUUUCAUUCCAAACCACAAUUCCCACAUUUACUUAUUUAUAAAACAAACUCCCACAAUUUCUUAUUCAUAAAACAAACUCCCACAUUACCUUAUUC